AAUGCGAUAAUUAAUGUGCAUUGCAGAAUUCAGUGAAUCAUCGAGUCUUUGAACGCACAUUGCGCCCCCUGGUAUUCCGGGGGGCAUGCCUGUCCGAGCGUCAUUGCUGCCCUCAAGCACGGCUUGUGUGUUGGGCUUCCGUCCCUGGCAACGGGGACGGGCCCAAAAGGCAGUGGCGGCACCAUGUCUGGUCCUCGAGCGUAUGGGGCUUUGUCACCCGCUCCCGUAGGUCCAGCUGGCAGCUAGCCUCGCAACCAAUCUUUUUAACCAGGUUGACCUCGGAUCAGGUAGGGAUACCCGCUGAACUUAAGC
rnacentral:misc_RNA from 1 species